CGUCCGGAAAUACAACUGUGGCCCUGUGGCCAUCUUGCAUAUCAUUAUCAUUUCCAUUUUGUAUUAAAUUUUCUAUUUGAUUAUUUGAUUUUUAAAAAGGGUAGUUGAAGGAAUGCCGGCAUUGUUAAUAUUGUGAUUUUGUUUUGUGUUAAUAACGGCACUAGGCAGAGGUACUGGUGAGAGAAGAUAAUUAUUGUAUGCUGUUUUAAAGUGGAAAUGUUAAAUCUGUUCUCUACAAGAUGAAUCCAUCAAACCAAAUCCAGUGUAGGUACAUGAUAUCAUCCACAACUAAGGAAUGCAUGUUCAAUACAAAUAAAACUAUGAAAAAUCAAGUACACAAAUGACCCAUGGUCACAACAAAA
rnacentral:lncRNA from 1 species